AACGGACGCUGGCGGCAUGCCUAACACAUGCAAGUCGAACGAGGCCUUCGGGUCUAGUGGCGCACGGGUGCGUGACGCGUGGGAACCUGCCCUUAGGUUCGGAAUAACUCCCCGAAAGGGGUGCUAAUACCGGAUAAUGUCUUCGGACCAAAGAUUUAUCGCCUUUGGAUGGGCCCGCGUUGGAUUAGCUAGUUGGUAGGGUAAAAGCCUACCAAGGCGACGAUCCAUAGCUGGUCUGAGAGGAUGAUCAGCCACACUGGGACUGAGACACGGCCCAGACUCCUACGGGAGGCAGCAGUGGGGAAUAUUGGACAAUGGGCGAAAGCCUGAUCCAGCAAUGCCGCGUGAGUGAUGAAGGCCUUAGGGUUGUAAAGCUCUUUUACCCGGGAUGAUAAUGACAGUACCGGGAGAAUAAGCUCCGGCUAACUCCGUG
rnacentral:rRNA from 1 species